UACGGAGGGGGCGAGCGUUAUUCGGAAUCAUUGGGCGUAAAGCGUGCGCAGGCGGUUCGUUAUGUCCGUUGUGAAAGCCCCGGGCUCAACCUGGGAAUGGCAAUGGAAACUGGCGGGCUAGAGUGUGGCAGAGGGGGGUGGAAUUCCGCGUGUAGCAGUGAAAUGCGUAGAGAUGCGGAGGAACACCGAUGGCGAAGGCAGCCCCCUGGGCUAGCACUGACGCUCAGGCACGAAAGCGUGGGGAGCAAACAGG
rnacentral:rRNA from 1 species